rnacentral:rRNA from 1 species
AUGAGGUCGGCCUCUCUGCGUGGCCUUGCGCAGCUAGAGCAGGCUGGAGAUAUGAAGCGAGAAGGAGUUCGCACCAGAAGCCAGACUAAAAAACAAAAAGCUUCCACAAGUAGCCAAGGUAAUUCGCUUCCGGACAAUCCUUUUGAAGAGGAAUUUGGCAGCUUAAGUGAUUCUGGUCAAGGUGUGUGGACGGAACUCAGUAAAGAAGUCGCCUCGAACUUAGCAGGCACUGUUGUAUCGAUUGCUUCAUUCGAUGAUGGAAAUAAUAAACUGUUUUUUGCAUGCACCGGCAUAAUUACCGUGAACACUCCAAAAACUACAAGUUUUCUGACUUCAUUAAGUUUGGUUAGAUCUAUUGAUGACAACAGCAAGAUCUUUCACGACAUGAGGAUUGAAGUGCGCCUUCCAGAUAACAAAAUUGAAUCGGGAUGGUUGCAAUUCUAUGAUUUGAAACACAAUGUCGCUGUUAUCAACAUCAUUCGCUAUCAUUCUCUUCAAGUAGCAUGUCUAGAUCAUCAGCGGCAAAUUGAGUCUCAGAGUAAAGUAGUUGCUGUAGGGCGUUGCUUCAACUCAGGAAAAUUAAUGGCCACAGCUGGGAUGUUGACUGACAAUCCAAGAGGAGCUUACCGCGAGGAGCUUGCCAUCUCCACAUGUGAAAUUACUAUGACUGGAGUUGGAGGGCCCCUUGUUGAUUUUAAUGGGAAUUUCGUUGGGAUGAACUUUUAUGAUGAGAAAGAGACUCCAUUCCUACCAAGGAAUACAAUUCUUGAACUCCUGUCGCAGUUCAGCAAAAUAAUUCCAUGGUGGGCUACAAGUAAAAAUACAAUCAGAAAAUUUCCCAGACCUCACAAGUCUGAUUCACAAGACAGCUCAAAGGGAGGAGAGAAAACUAAGGAUCAGAAACCUUCCAUAUGUACUCUUUGUGAUCCAGAAUGUCAUCCAGGACUCGUGGAUAGAUUAUCAAAGUGGGCGUUCUUAUGUACUCGGUGGCCGAGAUAUCUUGAUUCUGCUGAUGCUACAAAAAAAGAGCUGAGGUCCAGUGGUUAUCCAUUCCCGGUUUGGGACGAUACGGGCAUGCGGUUGCUUAAUAAUUUUGAAGAGGAAUUUAGUGAAGAUAUCUGGAGCGAACUCGAAAGAAGCGUUAAUUCAAAUAUGUCUCAAAGUGUUGUCACAUUGGCUUCAUUCAUUGGAAGAAAAAGGUGUUUUGCUUGCACGGGCGUAUUCAUAGACUGCAAUGGGUCCACCACAAGAGUUCUAACCUCUGCAAGUUUGGUUAGGACUUCUGAUGAUGAAAACACUGUUGCUGAUAACCUGAAGAUUGUAGUGUGCCUUCCAGAUAAUCGACGUACCACAGGGACAUUGCAACAUUACAGUUUACAUUAUAACAUUGCUGUCGUCCACAUCAUGGGUUUCUGCUGUUCUCGGACAGCACAAAUCGACGAUCAGAUGCAAAUUAAGCCUCAGAUGAAGGUAGUAGCUGUAGGGCGUGGCUACAAAUCGGGUAAAUUCAUGGCCACAAGUGGGAUAGUGAUCGACAAACCAAGUAAGCUUGAUUGCAAAGAGCUUAAGAUCUCCACUUGUAAAAUCACCAAGGCUGGGAUUGGAGGGCCUCUUAUUGAUUUUGAUGGAAAUUUAAUUGGCAUGAACUUCUAUGGCUUGAAGAAACUCCAUACGUACCAGUGA